rnacentral:rRNA from 1 species
CUAGACACGGCCCAGACUCCUACGGGAGGCAGCAGUGGGGAAUAUUGCACAAUGGGCGCAAGCCUGAUGCAGCAACGCCGCGUGAGGGACGACGGCCUUCGGGUUGUAAACCUCUUUUAGCAGGGAAGAAGCGAAAGUGACGGUACCUGCAGAAAAAGCACCGGCUAACUACGUGCCAGCAGCCGCGGUAAUACGUAGGGUGCAAGCGUUAUCCGGAAUUAUUGGGCGUAAAGAGCUCGUAGGCGGUUUGUCGCGUCUGCUGUGAAAACCCGAGGCUCAACCUCGGGCCUGCAGUGGGUACGGGCAAACUAGAGUGCGGUAGGGGAGAUUGGAAUUCCUGGUGUAGCGGUGGAAUGCGCAGAUAUCAGGAGGAACACCGAUGGCGAAGGCAGAUCUCUGGGCCGUAACUGACGCUGAGGAGCGAAAGCGUGGGGAGCGAACAGGAUUAGAUACCCUGGUAGUCCACGCCGUAAACGUUGGGAACUAGAUGUGGGGGCCAUUCCACGGCUUCCGUGUCGCAGCUAACGCAUUAAGUUCCCCGCCUGGGGAGUACGGCCGCAAGGCUAAAACUCAAAGGAAUUGACGGGGGCCCGCACAAGCGGCGGAGCAUGCGGAUUAAUUCGAUGCAACGCGAAGAACCUUACCAAGGCUUGACAUAUACGAGAACGCUGCAGAAAUGUAGAACUCUUUGGACACUCGUAUACAGGUGGUGCAUGGUUGUCGUCAGCUCGUGUCGUGAGAUGUUGGGUUAAGUCCCGCAACGAGCGCAACCCUCGUUCUAUGUUGCCAGCACGUAAUGGUGGGAACUCAUAGGAGACUGCCGGGGUCAACUCGGAGGAAGGUGGGGAUGACGUCAAAUCAUCAUGCCCCUUAUGUCUUGGGCUUCACGCAUGCUACAAUGGCCGGUACAAAGGGCUGCAAUACCGUAAGGUGGAGCGAAUCCCAAAAAGCCGGUCUCAGUUCGGAUUGAGGUCUGCAACUCGACCUCAUGAAGUCGGAGUCGCUAGUAAUCGUGGAUCAGCAACGCCACGGUGAAUACGUUCCCGGGCCUUGUACACACCGCCCGUCAAGUCAUAAAAGUCGGUAACACCCGAAGCCAGUGGCCCAACCGCAAGGAGGGAGCUGUCGAAGGUGGGAUCGGUGAUUAGGACUAAGUCGGAACAAGGUAGCCGUACCGGAAGGUGCGGCUG